GAAACCUGACGUCAUCGCGGCGACCGUGGAGACUUUUAAAAUAGAGGUCAACAUGACCGGGCAAGAAGAGCAGGGUCCUUCCUUCAGGUGUUUGGGACUCAACUGAGGGUGUGGGUGCCCCGCGGGGGGGCUGAACCUUCCUGGGGUGUGGAGAGACGAAAGGAGCCCAGAUCCAAGUUCCUUCGUUCCCGCUUUGGCACAAGUUGCCCGGGCGGUCUCAUGAGAGAGAGAGAGCUGGGACCCUCCUGGCCCCAGUGAGUGUGGUGUCUUGCUCCGGGUGUCCUGGGGCAACUUUCUAUAUAAAGGCGGGACGUGGGGAGGAUGAGACAGUUAACGUGAGACAAGGGUGUUGACUGUGCAGCGCAGAACCAGUAGUUUGUAGAGAAGAACCAGGUGUGAUGUUGAAUCUGCUAGACAGGCUACUGAAGCAAAAGUCAAGAGAUCCAGAUCCCAUCAUGGGGACACUUUAGUGAGAACCUCCUCAGCUUGGUUUCUGAAUCUUUUUGACAUGCUUUCUGGUAUGAUAAUUUGGUCCAGGCUUAUCUGGUACAAUCCUGACCCCAGAUCUGGAAUCAGCUGUCUCUCUAAUACAGCCUGGUUUCUUUUCAUGAUUGAUACCGGAAAAGCCAUUUCCUAUUGAGCCCAAAAUGAAGAGAGUGCAAAUAAAGAGAAGGCAGGAAUCACAAGCCCUUGACAGACACAUUGCCACCUACAGGACCCUGCACCCAGAUUUCAUCUGCACAAUCAGCUUCUUCAAAGAGAGAGAGGCUGUCGAGUUAGUACCCAUGAGGGCACAAUACUAGAAAUGUGUAAAACUAUAAGUUUUUAAGUCCUAGAAAGUCAUCAUCUAUAAAGGAGACUUUUGGGUAUGCUUUGGGGAGGUUAAGCGGUAGAAUCCCAUUUCUGCUCCUUAUUAGAUGAGUCUGAAAAAAUUGAUUUUCCAUGAGUGAGUUUGAUUUUGUCAUCUGUAAAAUGAGAAUAAUGAUGUCUUCCUCACAGAGUCAUUGUGAGAAAAUUAUGCAAAAAUGUAAUUGUACAUGUUUAUAUAUGUGUCAUAAAAAAUAGGUGCCCUUUUGCACUUUUUUUCUCUUAAA